AAAUAAUUUUUAAUGGCCGCAGUAUUUUGACUGUGCAAAGGUAGCAUAAUCGUUAGUUUUUUAAUUGAAAUCUUGUAUGAAUGGUUUGACAAAAAAAAAUCUGUCUUUAUAAUUAUUUAUUGAAUUUAACUUUUAAGUGAAAAGGCUUAAAUAAAUUAAAAAGACGAUAAGACCCUAUAAAACUUAAUAUUAAUUUUUUAUUUUAAUAAAAUUUUUAGUAAUAUAAAUAUUUAGUAAUUAGUUUUAUUUUAUUGGGGUGAUAAUAAUAAAAUGAUUAUUAACUGUUAAUUGUAUUUAUAACAAAUAUAAGUGAAUAAAAUAAGUAUAUUGAUUUAUAAAUGGUCCUAUAUAAAGAUUAAAAGUUUAAGUUACUUUAGGGAUAACAGCGCCAUUUUUUUUGAGAGUUCUUAUCGAAAAAAAAGUUUGCGACCUCGAUGUUGAAUUAAAAUAUCUGUAUAAUUGUAGCAGUUAUAUAAGAAGGUCUGUUCGACCUUUAAAUUUUUACAUGAUUUGAGUUCAAACCGGUGUAAGCCAGGUUGGUUUCUAUCUUUUAAUAAGUUAAUAAUUA
rnacentral:rRNA from 1 species